GUCAAGAAAAGGCUCUAUCGAGGUUAAAGGGACCCGUACCGCAAACCGACACAGGGGGGUGAGGAGAGGAUCCUAAGGCUAGCGAGAGAACUGGUGUUAAGGAAAGUGUCAAAAUGACCCCGUAACUUAGUGAUAAGGGGUGCCACCAUCAGGUGGCAGCAGAGAAUAGGCCCAAGCGACUGUUUACCAAAAACAUAGGUUUCUGCUAAGUCGCAAGCCGAUGUAUAGGAGCUGACGCCUGCACGGUGCUGGAAGGUUAAGGGGAUCUGUUAGAGCAAUCGAAGCAGUGAACUUAAGCCCCAGUAAACGCCGGCCGUACCUAUACCGGGCCUAAGGUCGCGCCAUUCCUUGUCGGGUACGUUCCGACGCGCACGCAAGGCGUAACGAUUUGGGCACUGGCUCAACAACAGACUCGGUGAACUUGUAAUUC
rnacentral:rRNA from 1 species